UGAUGAGAUGGUGGCUCCGGUUCGCACGUCUUCUCCUGGCUUUGCUCACAUUAACAACACGUGAUGUAGAGUAGCGAUGGAUCCGGUGAACUGAGAAUGAAGGCUCCGAUGCUAUGACACAGCUCCGGUGCUGAGGCGAGACACCUAGGAUGACGGCGCAAGGAACUCCUUUUUCUGGCGUGAAGGAAAGGACAAUAGGAGUGUGUACUUGAAGACGUGAUGAAGAGGAAGAAGACGUGAUGGAGAUUAAUGGAGGAGAGUGGCGGUUCUCGAUGCACUCUCCUUUCCUUUUUCUUUUGAUUGCUAGGUUAACAAAAUAUGAUAUAUAUAAUGCUUUGGUUUACCAAUGGUCUGAUUCAAUUAAAAUCGAUACAAAACCAACAGUUAGAGAACCGGGUCGUUACAAUUCUCCCUUAAUUAUAAGGAAUUCGUCCUCGAAUUCAAAGCCGGAGCUGGUUGUCCAAAACCAUAUUGAGAAAAUUGUAGAUAGGUAAUCAUCAUAUGAGUCUCAGUCUCCUGGAUCUCCUCCUAGAUCUUGUUUCUUUCUCUCAUCAAAUUUUGACGAACAUGGUCAUCAUUUUCUGGACCAAUUUUUCUUGUUGAUCCAUAAUCUCCAUUAUAGCUGAAAACACGCAACACAGUUUUUUUUUUCUUUUUUUUUUUUUACCGAAAUCGCUUGGUGGCUGCUGCAACAUGAACUCUUACUAUCUCACGACCUUUCUAAAUACUAACCCGUCAUGGAAUUCUGACAACUUUGCUGAUCACUGAAAUCUCUAAACCAUUGCUCCACAAAGGGGGUACGAUCACAUAUAUUUAGGUUUAAGCUUCCUUAGCUCUCGAGUCUUAGAUCCUCUCUGAAAUGUCUUCAUUUUCAGGUACACUAAAUUAUCCAACUGAACUUCCAACUCCAGUAUUAACUGCAUUUUUUUUUUUGCCAUCAAUUUCCUUUAGAUGGUUGUUGAGCAUUUCUAUUUGCUUCAAUGACCUUUAAACCAUUGGUUGCUAUACACCAUAGUGCUUCCCCACUUUGGUUUAGCAUGUGAGCGAAUGAUCUUCCAUAAAGAACCUCCUAAAGUGAUAUCUGAAUGCCCCAGUGAUAAUUGUCACUGUACAUGAACUAUUCGAGCGGUAGAAGCUUUUCUCAAAAAAAAAUUUUCUCCUGCGAGCAAAGGCAAGUCCUGAGGAUGCCCUCUCGAGUUUAACUUAGCGAGAUGAUCCAUGUUCGCUCAUACAUUAAUCUUCAUGAAAAUUGACUUACAUAGUCCAAUGAGGAAACCCCACAAUCAACAUAUCCCAUUUCCAAUCUAUAAGAAUUAAAUUAUGUAAUAAUCCCAUAAAUAUUUGAUGUUCUAUUUUAACCAUCUGACAAGUCUGACAUAGACAAAAUGUAGCUACAUCUUUGUUCUUUUCCACUCUAGGCCAAUGAUAUUAAGACUUCAUAUCUAUGUAUCUCUUAGGUGUCGGCCACUCCAAACUUGUAAUUAUCUUUUUUUGAAUAUACAUCAACUCCUGGUUCUGA
rnacentral:lncRNA from 1 species